rnacentral:rRNA from 2 species
GAUGAACGCUGGCGGCGCGCCUAACACAUGCAAGUCGAACGGUUAAAGCACCUUUUAGGUGUGUAUAAAGUGGCGAACGGCUGAGUAACACGUGGGCAACCUGCCCUCCUCUUGGGGAUAGCCUCGGGAAACCGAGGAUAAUACCCGAUACUUCAAUGUGGCCGCAUGACGACAUUGAGAAAGCUUUUGCGGAGAAGGAUGGGCCCGCGGCCUGUUAGCUUGUUGGUGGGGUAGAGGCCUACCAAGGCAAUGAUGGGUAGCUGGGUUGAGAGACCGACCAGCCAGAUUGGGACUGAGACACGGCCCAGACUCCUACGGGAGGCAGCAGUGGGGAAUCUUGCACAAUGGGCGAAAGCCUGAUGCAGCGACGCCGCGUGCGGGACGAAGGCCUUCGGGUUGUAAACCGCUUUCAGCAGGGACGAGGCGAAAGUGACGGUACCUGCAGAAGAAGCCCCCGCUAACUACA